rnacentral:rRNA from 1 species
UACGUAGGGUGCGAGCGUUGUCCGGAAUUAUUGGGCGUAAAGAGCUUGUAGGCGGUCUGUCGCGUCUGCUGUGAAAGUCCAGGGCUCAACCCUGGAAGGCCGGUGGAAACUGUCGGGCUAGAGUCCGGAAGAGGCGAGUGGAAUUCCCGGUGUAGCGGUGAAAUGCGCAGAUAUCGGGAGGAACACCAAUGGCGAAGGCAGCUCGCUGGGACGGUACUGACGCUGAGACGCGAAAGCGUGGGGAGCAAACAGG